GCCUCGCACCAUUAGGAGCGGUCAGAUAGCACGGUAGAUUAGCUAGUUGGUGGGGUAAUUCAGCUCACCACAGCGACGAUCCGUAGCUGGUUUGAGAGGACGACCAGCCACACUGACUGAGACACGGCCCAGACUCCUACGGAGCAGCAGUGAAUUUUGACAAUGGGGAAACCCCGGAUCUACGUUGGUAUCCCGCGUGUGCGAUGAAUAGCUCUUCGGGGUUAAAAAGCACUUUUUGGAGAGAGAAACGGUACGGGAGAAUAUUCCCAAAACUGACGGCAUUCACAGAAUACACCAUACACCAUGCGUUGCGCAGCCGCGGUAAUACGUAGGGUGCAAGCAACGGAAUUACCGGCGUAAAGGUGCGCAGGCGUUCGAAAAGAAAGAUGUGAAAUCCCAGAGCUUAACUUUGGAACUGUAUUUUAAUCAAUGAGCUAGAGUGUGUCAGAGGGAGGUGAAUUCCGCGUGUAGCAGUAAAAUGCGUAGAUAUGGAGGAACACCGAUGGCGAAGGCAGCCUCCUGGGAUAACACUGACGCUCAUGCACGAAAGCGGGGAGCAAACAGGAUUAGAUACCCUGGUAGUCCACGCCCUAAACGAUGUCAACUUAGCUGUUGGGGCCUUCGGGCCUUGGUAGCGCAGCUAACGCGUGAAGUUGACCGCCUGGGGAGUACGGUCGCAAGAUUAAAACUCAAAGGAAUUGAUUGGGACCGCACAAGCGGUGGAUGAUGGAUUAAUUCGAUGCAACGCGAAAAACCUUACCUACCCUUGACAUGUCUGGAAUCCCGAAGGAGAUUUGGGAGUGUCAAGAGGAACGCUGGAACACAGGUGCUGCAUGGCUGUCGUCAGCUCGUGUCGAGAUGCUGGGUUAAGUCCCGCAACGAGCGCAACCCUUGUCAUUAGUUGCUACGAAAGGGCACUUGUCGUGAUCGCCGGUGACAAACCGGAGGAAGGUGGGGAUGGACGUCAAGUCCUCAUGGCUCCCAGGGUAGGGCUUCACACGUCAUACAAUGGUCGGGACAGAGGUCGCCAACCCGCGAGGGGGAGCCAAUCCCAGAAACCCGAUCAACUGGAUCGCAGUCUGCAACUCGACUGCGUGAAGUCGGAAUCGCUAGUAAUCGCGGAUCAGCAUGUCGCGGUGAAUACGUUCCCGGGUCUUGUACACACCGCCCGUCACACCAUGGGAGUGGGUUUUACCAGAAGUAGUUAGCCUAACCGUAAGGAGGUGACACGGUAGGAUUCAUGAUCAGUGAAGUCGUAACAAGGUAA
rnacentral:rRNA from 1 species